rnacentral:rRNA from 1 species
GAUGAACGCUGGCGGCGUGCCUAAUACAUGCAAGUCGAGCGAACAGACGAGGAGCUUGCUCCUCUGACGUUAGCGGCGGACGGGUGAGUAACACGUGGAUAACCCACCUAUAAGACUGGGAUAACUUCGGGAAACCGGAGCUAAUACCGGAUAAUAUAUUGAACCGCAUGGUUCAAUAGUGAAAGACGGUUUUGCUGUCACUUAUAGAUGGAUCCGCGCCGCAUUAGCUAGUUGGUAAGGUAACGGCUUACCAAGGCGACGAUGCGUAGCCGACCUGAGAGGGUGAUCGGCCGCACUGGAACUGAGACACGGUCCAGACUCCUACGGGAGGCAGCAGUAGGGAAUCUUCCGCAAUGGGCGAAAGCCUGACGGAGCAACGCCGCGUGAGUGAUGAAGGUCUUCGGAUCGUAAAACUCUGUUAUUAGGGAAGAACAAAUGUGUAAGUAACUAUGCACGUCUUGACGGUACCUAAUCAGAAAGCCACGGCUAACUACGUG